AGAUGUCCUCCUGGCAGGGACUUCUUGGCCACCUCAGCCAGCACUCCCAAUCCCAGGCCGACAGCCAGUCCUGGGGAGUAAGAGAGAAGGCCUCUGCUAGGCCCAUCCUUAUGGAACAUUUGGGCCCAAGAACCCCCACAUGGCCCCUGCAAGAAAAGUGGAUAUUGGGGCCACAAAAGGAAGAGUCCAGGAAAAACUAUUUGCCCUCUGGGUGCUGGCUUCCAAUGAGGGGACAAUAAACAAAAUAAAUGAGAAAACUGAGGCUCUGAGGAGACAAGACUGUGGGGAAAGAUCAUCCCAAAAGUGACUGUUGGAGCCAGGAUUUGAAAACAGGCAUCCUCGCUUUGCCUUUACAUAAAUUCUUUCGCUGCUCUGGUUCUUAA